rnacentral:rRNA from 1 species
AGAGUUUGAUCCUGGCUCAGAUUGAACGCUGGCGGCAGGCCUAACACAUGCAAGUCGAGCGGAUGAUGGGAGCUUGCUCCCGGAUUCAGCGGCGGACGGGUGAGUAAUGCCUAGGAAUCUGCCUGGUAGUGGGGGACAACGUUUCGAAAGGAACGCUAAUACCGCAUACGUCCUACGGGAGAAAGCAGGGGACCUUCGGGCCUUGCGCUAUCAGAUGAGCCUAGGUCGGAUUAGCUAGUUGGUGGGGUAAAGGCCUACCAAGGCGACGAUCCGUAACUGGUCUGAGAGGAUGAUCAGUCACACUGGAACUGAGACACGGUCCAGACUCCUACGGGAGGCAGCAGUGGGGAAUAUUGGACAAUGGGCGAAAGCCUGAUCCAGCCAUGCCGCGUGUGUGAAGAAGGUCUUCGGAUUGUAAAGCACUUUAAGUUGGGAGGAAGGGCAGUAAGUUAAUACCUUGCUGUUUUGACGUUACCAACAGAAUAAGCACCGGCUAACUUCGUGCCAGCAGCCGCGGUAAUACGAAGG